CAUCCUUCAUGACCUUUUAUUCCUAAACCUUUUAAAGCUGAUAUCACACCAUUUUCUUUUGAUCAUUUCAAAUUUGUUUGUUGUUGUAAUUUUAAUAAUUAUUUACAAAUAUGGUAUCAUAUUUUUUGAGACUGUAAGCUGAAAUCUCCCUGAGGGUGAUUUUUUUUUGUUUGUUAUUAUAAGCUACUGAUUUCAUAUACUUUUGUGUUCCACAGAGUGCAAACACAGAUCUAAAUGUGGAGAAAGUUUUCUUUUCCUUACAAGGUAUUCAUACAAGACUUUCUACACUUUAGAGAAUGAGAAGUCCAAUAAUAUCCUUGCAGUAUGAUAUUCGAAAUCAGAACCUAGGCGCUAUAAACUCUGGGUUGAAUCAUAAGGGCAUUGGUAGUGCUGAAGGUUUUAAUUUAUUGAUGUGGAUCAUUCGAAUUCAGAAACUAUGGUUCUUAAGCUAAGUUAGAUAAUCUGAAAUUCAGGGGUUCUCCAUAGAUUGUUCUUUCUUUUUUAUAUCAACCCAAUUAAUUUUAGGGGUUGAUUUCUACAAACAUCUAGAAUUUGAAAACCUAACCGAUAAGAAAUUAAUGGCUAGAUGGUGGUGUUGUGAUCAACCAAAUAUGUGUUGUUUGUUGUAAGAAUUGUAUAUGCAGGUAUGCACAUUUCUAGAGUGAUAUAUGCGCAGAUCUCUACCGGAUCCAUGAAAAAAAAUGUAUUAAGAUUUUCCAAUGGAUAUAGAGGUAGGAAAGGAAAACAACUCGUUGUUGUAAUUUGCUAUAGGAAGCAAAGAAAAAAAUGUUGUUAUAUGAAACUAAUCAAAAAAAGAAGCAGAUUUGGUAUUGAAUCAUCAAGGAAUUUGA